rnacentral:rRNA from 1 species
GGAUGAACGCUGGCGGCUUGCCUAAUACAUGCAAGUCGAGCGAACAGACGAGUAGCUUGCUCCUCUGACGUUAGCGGCGGACGGGUGAGUAACACGUGGAUAACCUACCUAUAAGACUGGGAUAACUUCGGGAAACCGGAGCUAAUACCGGAUAAUAUAUUGAACCGCAUGGUUCAAUAGUGAAAGACGGUUUUGCUGUCACUUAUAGAUGUAUCCGCGCCGCAUUAGCUAGUUGGUAAGGUAACGGCUUACCAAGGCAACGAUGCGUAGCCGACCUGAGGGGGUGAUAGGCGACACUGGAAGUGAGACAAGGUCCAGACUCCUACGGGAGGCAGCAGUAGGGAAUCUUCCGCAAAGGGCGAAAGCAUGACGGAGCAACGCCGCGUGAGUGAUGAAGGUCUUCGGAUCGUAAAACUCUGUUAUUAGGGAAGAACAAAUGUGUAAGUAACUAUGCACGUAUUGACGGUACCUAAUAAGAAAGCCACGGCUAACUACGUG